AGGUGAGCUGAGUGCCUGCCCGGGGCUUUGAGGGCAUUUCUGGGGACCAACCCUGACCAAACUCUGACUCAGAAGAAGUCAGUGGAUCAAACAGACUGGAUUUAGAGGGGGCGGUGACCGGGCUGCUGGCCAUGGCAGUUGGCCUUGCACAGCAAAUCAUCUGUGAGCACAGAGCCCGGAGUCUGAGGGACCAGAGUCUGCAGCCCCCAUGCUCAGGGUCAGCUGCCUGACACCCAGCCUCACCAACCCAAUGUCCUUAUCUCUAAAAAGAUGGGCACGGUUGUUGUGGGUAUUGAAAAUCCUGUAAUGAUGGUCCCAGCUUGUGCCUAGAGCACAAGACGACAGUAAAUGGUAGCUUUCAAAAACACUCAGCUUUGUGGAAGUACAAUGCACUUGUGGUAGAACACCCACUUGAAGGAGACAUCUGACGGGCACCAACACAUACACGCACAUGACUGUGGAACGCCUCUCACAGUCUAAGUAGCAAAUGCUCCCAGGAUCCCAAAAAGUUCCUCCUGCCUCUUCGAAGCCAGUUCCCCCUACCUGCCCCAUCUUGGCCUCAGAGGAUGGCUGGUGUUUUCUGUUGCCAAGAUCUAGAAUGUCAUAGGCACAGAAGCCUUUGGGGUCUGGCUUCUUCCCUUUCCCAUGUUUUCAAGGCCCAUCUGUGUGACUGAAGGCAUCAAUACCUGGGUCUCAUUCCACCACAUGCGUCCGACCCUAACCCUAAUAUCUCACUGUGUUUUGAGUCUGCGCAGAGCUGCCCCUUGCUGACGCUGCUGUUUCCCAUUGGGUCUUCUCAAUGUGUUCCUGGAUCAGACCCAGGAGAGGGGAAGAAAAGGAGGGAAGGGAGGGAAGAGAGCUAAGGAAGGAGCGCCUACCCAACCCAGCCCUGCCACGUGAAACACAUGCACCCCGAACUGCUGCACCCCGGGUCCUGGACCCACAGAGAGGCUGUGACCUCCUAGCACGCCUCACCAGCCCCCUUGCCUGAUCCUUCACCAAAUCUCCUCUUUCUUGGCCUUGGAGCUUCAUGAAGAAGGAGGUCUGAGAGCCCCCCCAUACGCAUCAUCCCAGAAAAGUCUAGGCCCCUUCUAUUCAUUGGUAUUUUUUUUCCCUUUCAUUCAACAAGAAAUUAGUGCAUGUCAGCAUGUGCCAGGCACGAGCAAGGCCGGGAGGCAGGAAGAGGGGCGGCCCCAGGCUACAGGGACCAGCCAGCCCCAUCCCUACCCCCUCUCCUUCUCGCCUGACUCAGCCGACAGCAGGAUGGGAAUAAAGGGCGCCCCACCAGCGUCCUCCAAUUUCCCGCUAUUCAGCUCAGACCUGAGUAGCAGCAGGCAGCCGAAAGGAUUUGCAGCUCUCUCCCAAAACAGCCCUCUUGGCCACCUCCCGCUUCCCACAUGGGCAAAGUCAGGACCACACCUGAGAAGGAGCCAAUUGGAGAAGACCCACCUUGGACCCUUCCUGGAGGAGAGGCAGUUCCCUGGCUGCCAGCACAAAGGCCAGGGCUGGGCCAACGUGCCUGCAAGAGGCCUGAUUUCUUCCUGGAGACUGAAGAGCCUGGGGAUACAACCACAGCUCCCCUCCCCCAGAGCCACCUCACACCCACUGGCCUCCCUGCUCCCCGGAGGGCAAGGGCUGCAGGGACCCAGAGCGAGCACGAAUGUGGUUUCCUCUCAGCCUCACCCCCCAGAGACUUCCGCUGGGCUGUGGCCAACCUGGGCGGAGAUGUCAGCCUCCUCAGGAAGCCUCCUGCUCCGAGGGAGAGAGACAGACAAGCUGACAGUCAGUGGGGCAGGACACAAGGCCACGCCCCUUCCACCGGAGGCAGCAGGUGGGGAGACCCAGGAGAGAAGAGCGGCCGGAGAGGCUGAGGUCAGCAGCCACUUGGCUCUGGAAGCAGCUGCAGAUGUGUGGCCACACCAGCACCAGGGGACCCUAUUCUGCAUCUAUGCUGGGCUGGAAGACUGCAAAACCACUUGGCAGAAGACAUAAAUGAGAAAUCCUGUACCAAGUAAGGAUGAAAAGAAGAAUUGGAAACAAGUAUGCAAUCGGCCACCAACUAUCGAAUGGAAGCAAUAAAAAAGAACUCAACCAGGGCCGGGGAUUUAGCCCAAUGGUUCUGCCGCCUGCCUUGCAAGUGCAAGGAUCCAAGUUCGAUCCCUGGUACCAAAAAAAAAUUGUUUGUGCAAAAAGAACUCAACCCUACCCAUGCUCAUGCCUACACACUCUCGCACACCUUCCCUCUCUCUCCCUCAGAGGGACUCAGUUCCAAGGUGUGAAUACACCAAGUCUGCCCUCCUCAGGGCUGCCGUGCAUGUCAGAUGAGAAGAUGCAGGGAUGGUGCCUGCAGACGUGAACACACUCCACGCAUGUGGAUGAAGUAUCACUUGACCCCAAUUCUUCUCUCAGGGAGAAGGAAGCUCCUGCUGGGUCCUGAAGCUUCUUAGUUUUCUAGUUAGUUUCCUUUUGUUCCUCUCCAAAGCUCUGCUUACCCAGGAGAAUAAUGUCAACACUUAUGAUGCCAUUUUAAUCAUCCCAGGGGCAUUGAUCAUUAUUAUGAAUCCCAAAAUAGCUGAGCUAUUCAUGUUUGACAGUGCGAUCAUGCAGGGCUAUACAUCAUGGAACCUUCAAUGGAGGAUAUGCCUUGGUUUUCCAUGCACCUUCUCAUCUGUCGUCUCACAGAGAGGAGGUAUUCUCCCGAUUAUAGGGGUCCAAAACCAGGGGCCAAGGUGGGUCUGAUCACUCACCAGCUGGAGGACUGUGCUGGAAGGAUGGGCGCAGGUCCCUUCUCUGUUUCAGCAUGAGAUUUGCACACUGAGGGAAGUGUACGGCACCCCCCCACACACACACACACACACACACUGUGGGCUCCAUCUUUUCUCCCUAGCAUUGAGGUUUAAGGUUCCCACCUCCUUCCCAGCCCUGUUUCCUGGUCCCACCACCUCCUCCCCUGGGUCUUGCUCAACAAUGACCUUUUGGCAUCUCUGCCUCUCCCUCUGCACAGCUUCCACCUUGCCUCCCUGACAGGUGUGUUCAUGCCCCGACCACAUACCACCUGCUCCAGACGGACGCCCUCUCUGUUGCCCUCCCUGGCUCAGAUGCUCCUGAAAGCAGAGUCCGGGAUCCAGGCCUAGGGACAGGCACAAACUUAAGUAUCUACAUGGGUUGAAUUGUGUCCUCCCCAAGGCUAUGCUCAAGGUCUAACCUCUCAUUCCUGUGGAUGGAUCUUACUUAGGAAGAGGACCAAGUCCAGAGGAGCUCCCAUAGUGCUUCAGUGGGCUCUAACCCACUGAUGGACUUCCUUAAAAGAAGGAAGAUUUGGACCCAGAAACACUUCGGGAGACCACAAAGGCCUCAUAUUGGAGUAAUGUAUCUAUAAGCCCAAGCAUAAAAAGGAUUGCCAGCAUCACCUGGAAGCCAGUAGAGAGGUCUGGCCCUGACUCUCCCAAGAGCCUUCGGAGGGAACCACCCCUGCCAACACCUUGACUUUGGACUUUACCCUCCAGAACUGGGAGAGAAUUCGAAUGUCAUUUUAAGCGACUCUUGUCUGUUGGGAUUUGUUGCUGCAGCCACAAAGCCCAAACACAGUGUCCACCUCCUUAGGGCUUCUACACUCUCCUAAAAGAAGUGAGGCUGUGGUCACCUGCAUCCAGUUCUUUUGCAUGCAUUGUUACAAGGACAGCUGUGGCCCUGUGGAGCCAGCCCAAAUCCCAGCCCUCUGAGGGCAGGCGCCUUGUGUCCGAAACAGGAGCACCUCAACAACCAAGCACUGAUGUCAGCACCCAGGUUCCAGCACUCAGCAUCAUAAUCAGAAGAGACCAACACCUUGCUGGGCACGCUGACCGGACUCCACCAAUGCUAUUUCCCAGCCUGCAGACCACUCUGCCUGUCUCAGAUCACAGCCACUAAUGGGGUAGGGUGAGCGUCUACAUCCAUCCUGCACACAGCAGGGGCUUAGUGUCCCUCCUGCCCUUCCCAAUGGGGAAGCAGGGACAGGGACAGACGGUGCUCCCAGGAACACUGCUAACCAAGACAUAGCCUCAUCACUGUGUGUCCCACUUGCCUGUCCCCUCUGCUCCAGAAGAAACCUCCUCACUCCUCACCAAGCCUUCCGCUGCCCUUCCGGUUACCUGCUGCCCCUUAACUCCAUCCAGAGAGCCCAUUUCAUACAUUCAUUCAUUCAACAAGCCCAUGCUGGGCACUCAGGCUGCGCCUGACACCACACUACUCCCAGGGAGCCCUUGAUGACAAAGACACUGUUCCUGGCACAACUCUAAGAAAGAGACAUGGGCCUUGGAGUGAUGGGAGAAACCCAAAACCAUGCCCAUGUCCCCACAAGCUUCCAGCCCACCUCUUCCCCUGCCACCCCCCAGAGAGCUCUGUCCGUCCAAGUCCCAAAAUACACAUUGGCACAUAUUGCUGGGGACAUCAUUUUACUUAAAAAUGGGAGGGGGAGCUGGGUAAAAUGUUGCGUAUCUGAAGUCCCAGCUACUUGGGAAGCUGAGAUGGGGGAU